rnacentral:rRNA from 1 species
CAACUACGUGCCAGCAGCCGCGGUAAGACGUAGGGCGCAAGCGUUGUCCGGAUUUAUUGGGCGUAAAGAGCUCGUAGGCGGCUUGUCGCGUCGACUGUGAAAACCCGUGGCUCAACUGCGGGCUUGCAGUCGAUACGGGCAGGCUGGAGUUCGGUAGGGGAGACUGGAAUUCCUGGUGUAGCGGUGAAAUGCGCAGAUAUCAGGAGGAACACCGGUGGCGAAGGCGGGUCUCUGGGCCGAUACUGACGCUGAGGAGCGAAAGCGUGGGGAGCGAACAGGAUUAGAUACCCUGGUAGUCCACGCUGUAAACGUUGGGCGCUAGGUGUGGGGAGCCUCUCCGGUUCUCUGUGCCGCAGCUAACGCAUUAAGCGCCCCGCCUGGGGAGUACGGCCGCAAGGCUAAAACUCAAAGGAAUUGACGGGGGCCCGCACAAGCGGCGGAGCAUGCGGAUUAAUUCGAUGCGACGCGAAGAACCUUACCUGGGUUUGACAUCGCCGGAAAUCCUUCAGAGAUGGGGGGUCCUUCGGGGCCGGU